rnacentral:rRNA from 1 species
GGGUUGUGAGGUUAAGCGACUAAGCGUACACGGUGGAUGCCCUGGCAGUCAGAGGCGAUGAAGGACGUGCUAAUCUGCGAUAAGCGUCGGUAAGGUGAUAUGAACCGUUAUAACCGGCGAUUUCCGAAUGGGGAAACCCAGUGUGUUUCGACACACUAUCAUUAACUGAAUCCAUAGGUUAAUGAGGCGAACCGGGGGAACUGAAACAUCUAAGUACCCCGAGGAAAAGAAAUCAACCGAGAUUCCCCCAGUAGCGGCGAGCGAACGGGGAGCAGCCCAGAGCCUGAAUCAGUGUGUGUGUUAGUGGAAGCGUCUGGAAAGGCGUGCGAUACAGGGUGACAGCCCCGUACACAAAAAUGCACAUGCUGUGAGCUCGAUGAGUAGGGCGGGACACGUGGUAUCCUGUCUGAAUAUGGGGGGACCAUCCUCCAAGGCUAAAUACUCCUGACUGACCGAUAGUGAACCAGUACCGUGAGGGAAAGGCGAAAAGAACCCCGGCGAGGGGAGUGAAAAAGAACCUGAAACCGUGUACGUACAAGCAGUGGGAGCACGCUUAGGCGUGUGACUGCGUACCUUUUGUAUAAUGGGUCAGCGACUUAUAUUCUGUAGCAAGGUUAACCGAAUAGGGGAGCCGAAGGGAAACCGAGUCUUAACUGGGCGUUAAGUUGCAGGGUAUAGACCCGAAACCCGGUGAUCUAGCCAUGGGCAGGUUGAAGGUUGGGUAACACUAACUGGAGGACCGAACCGACUAAUGUUGAAAAAUUAGCGGAUGACUUGUGGUUGGGGGUGAAAGGCCAAUCAAACCGGGAGAUAGCUGGUUCUCCCCGAAAGCUAUUUAGGUAGCGCCUCGUGAAUUCAUCUCCGGGGGUAGAGCACUGUUUCGGCAAGGGGGUCAUCCCGACUUACCAACCCGAUGCAAACUGCGAAUACCGGAGAAUGUUAUCACGGGAGACACACGGCGGGUGCUAACGUCCGUCGUGAAGAGGGAAACAACCCAGACCGCCAGCUAAGGUCCCAAAGUCAUGGUUAAGUGGGAAACGAUGUGGGAAGGCCCAGACAGCCAGGAUGUUGGCUUAGAAGCAGCCAUCAUUUAAAGAAAGCGUAAUAGCUCACUGGUCGAGUCGGCCUGCGCGGAAGAUGUAACGGGGCUAAACCAUGCACCGAAGCUGCGGCAGCGACACUAUGUGUUGUUGGGUAGGGGAGCGUUCUGUAAGCCUGUGAAGGUGUACUGUGAGGUAUGCUGGAGGUAUCAGAAGUGCGAAUGCUGACAUAAGUAACGAUAAAGCGGGUGAAAAGCCCGCUCGCCGGAAGACCAAGGGUUCCUGUCCAACGUUAAUCGGGGCAGGGUGAGUCGACCCCUAAGGCGAGGCCGAAAGGCGUAGUCGAUGGGAAACAGGUUAAUAUUCCUGUACUUGGUGUUACUGCGAAGGGGGGACGGAGAAGGCUAUGUUGGCCGGGCGACGGUUGUCCCGGUUUAAGCGUGUAGGCUGGUUUUCCGGUGCAAAUCCGGAAAAUCAAGGCUGAGGCGUGAUGACGAGGCACUACGGUGCUGAAGCAACAAAUGCCCUGCUUCCAGGAAAAGCCUCUAAGCAUCAGGUAACAUCAAAUCGUACCCCAAACCGACACAGGUGGUCAGGUAGAGAAUACCAAGGCGCUUGAGAGAACUCGGGUGAAGGAACUAGGCAAAAUGGUGCCGUAACUUCGGGAGAAGGCACGCUGAUAUGUAGGUGAAGUCCCUCGCGGAUGGAGCUGAAAUCAGUCGAAGAUACCAGCUGGCUGCAACUGUUUAUUAAAAACACAGCACUGUGCAAACACGAAAGUGGACGUAUACGGUGUGACGCCUGCCCGGUGCCGGAAGGUUAAUUGAUGGGGUUAGCCGCAAGGCGAAGCUCUUGAUCGAAGCCCCGGUAAACGGCGGCCGUAACUAUAACGGUCCUAAGGUAGCGAAAUUCCUUGUCGGGUAAGUUCCGACCUGCACGAAUGGCGUAAUGAUGGCCAGGCUGUCUCCACCCGAGACUCAGUGAAAUUGAACUCGCUGUGAAGAUGCAGUGUACCCGCGGCAAGACGGAAAGACCCCGUGAACCUUUACUAUAGCUUGACACUGAACAUUGAGCCUUGAUGUGUAGGAUAGGUGGGAGGCUUGGAAGUGUGGACGCCAGUCUGCAUGGAGCCGACCUUGAAAUACCACCCUUUAAUGUUUGAUGUUCUAACGUUGACCCGUAAUCCGGGUUGCGGACAGUGUCUGGUGGGUAGUUUGACUGGGGCGGUCUCCUCCUAAAGAGUAACGGAGGAGCACGAAGGUUGGCUAAUCCUGGUCGGACAUCAGGAGGUUAGUGCAAUGGCAUAAGCCAGCUUGACUGCGAGCGUGACGGCGCGAGCAGGUGCGAAAGCAGGUCAUAGUGAUCCGGUGGUUCUGAAUGGAAGGGCCAUCGCUCAACGGAUAAAAGGUACUCCGGGGAUAACAGGCUGAUACCGCCCAAGAGUUCAUAUCGACGGCGGUGUUUGGCACCUCGAUGUCGGCUCAUCACAUCCUGGGGCUGAAGUAGGUCCCAAGGGUAUGGCUGUUCGCCAUUUAAAGUGGUACGCGAGCUGGGUUUAGAACGUCGUGAGACAGUUCGGUCCCUAUCUGCCGUGGGCGCUGGAGAACUGAGGGGGGCUGCUCCUAGUACGAGAGGACCGGAGUGGACGCAUCACUGGUGUUCGGGUUGUCAUGCCAAUGGCACUGCCCGGUAGCUAAAUGCGGAAGAGAUAAGUGCUGAAAGCAUCUAAGCACGAAACUUGCCCCGAGAUGAGUUCUCCCUGACUCCUUGAGAGUCCUGAAGGAACGUUGAAGACGACGACGUUGAUAGGCCGGGUGUGUAAGCGCAGCGAUGCGUUGAGCUAACCGGUACUAAUGAACCGUGAGGCUUAACCUUACAACGCCGAAGGUGUUU